CUUCUUCUUGCCCAAUCUUGUUUGAUUUGAAGCUUAGAAGGAGGUGAAGCAUUGGACCGAGGCAAAGAUUUAGCCGAGGUUUAGCUUGCGAGAAAUCAUCAUUUUGGUGAGUGGGAUUAUUAAGCAUGACCCUAUUAGAAAUUACCAAUAUUUAUAUGCUUAUAUAUACUCUAUCUUUCUUAAUGAGCUUUUGUUGGGUUCAUGAUUUAUUUUGAGAUGUUUAAUGCUUUGGAAAUGAGUUUAAAGUAAAUCUUUGUUGGUUUAUACUUGUUUUGUAACUUGUUUAAAGAUUUUGAAAGUUUUGAGUUUCAAAGUGGUUGUUUUGUCAAAAUUGGGCUUCCUUGUGAAAGUCUUUGAUUUUUUGUGAAAAUAAGUUUGAAACUCAUUCUUGGGUUUUUAAAAGGUAAGAUUUUCCCACGUUGUUCCUUGUGUUGGAUUUUGUAAAAUGAUUUGUGUUAAAAGCUUGAGUUUUGCUUGUGCUUUUAUCAUUUCCUUAUGGAAAUUGGGUGAGGUAUUGUUGAUUAUUGGUUUUUGGUGGCUGUUGUGCUCCGUGUGGAGUGUGUUAUUGUUGUAUUUUUAUGGUGACCCUGCUACAGUAGGCGGUCUCCACGGCCAGCCUGUUGAGGUGGCGUGGUCGACCGGUUCAUUACUACGAGGGCCAGUUCAGGUUGGAGUGUAGAGUCCUAACCGGAUAUUCAUCGGGUAGCGUUGUCACCAGGCGGUGAACCGAUGGGUCAACGUCAAGGGCAUGAGUACUUUGAUGGCUCUAAACCUAGCUAUGGCCGUGGUGAAGGUUUAGGGAGGUUUCUAGACCACUUUAUGCUGGGUGAGUGUUGGGUGUUGCGUUAUCCGAGUUGAAAACUAUUUUGAUUUACAUGUUUAUUGUGGAAGCUUUGCUUCAGGAUGGGCUUAUUUCCUUUAUUCUGGAGCUCUAUAUUCAGUAUUUUCACACUUUGAUUUUCUAAAACCCUAAUGACGGUAGAAUGCCUUCUUAUUUCUAUCCUUCUUGCAAGUUUGCUAUUAUAUGUAUUCCAGUGGUUUAAACUAGUUAUUUUAUUUAUAAAGUAUCAUAUUUGGAAUUUUAUGUCA